rnacentral:rRNA from 1 species
UACAGGGGGUGCAACCGUUGCUCGGAAUCAUUGGGCGUAAAGCGCACGUAGGCGGUUCGUUAUGUCGGAUGUGAAAGCCCUUGGCUUAACCGAGGAAGUGCAUCCGAAACUGGCGAGCUAGAGUACGAAAGAGGAUCGCGGAAUUCCCGGUGUAGAGGUGAAAUUCGUAGAUAUCGGGAAGAACACCGAUGGCGAAAGCAGUUCUCUGGGCCGUAACUGACGCUGAGGAGCGAAAGCGUGGGGAGCGAACAGG